CGGAUGAGGAAGUGGACCGCUUGGGGCAACAAUGACAUAAGGCCGUGUGAGGCCAAUAUGUUGGAGACACUAUACGGCCGAAUGCCUAAAGAAGAAGCUACACAAGAAGCCAAUGAAGAAGGAGUUCGACGACACUCAAAGCAUAUCCUUGGGGGCAAGGAUAUUUUUCAAGGAAGGGGGUUUGUUGAGGACCCACGCAAGCGACGCCGAGGUAGCGCCAAGCCGAGAGAGGACUAUGUGCCAACCGAGGGCCAAAGUGGCCAAAUGAUGUGUUUUGUGGCCAGCCGACCCUUAGCCGACCAUGAGGUUCAUCCACGACUCCGGCACCGCGUGGGAUCAGCCUGCGCGCCAGACCUCGCCCCAUCAACCCAACAGGCAAUCUCCACCUACGCUCUAAUCCGACCUCGGGGAGGGUCGGUCACCCAAGCCCCGGGCCUCGGAAGCUCAAGAGUAAACUCGCGCGGGAAGAAAAAUCGGGCCCUGCCGAAGGCCAAGCCGACCUCAGGCCAAGCCGACCUCGGGUCCUGCCGAAGGCCAAGCCGACCUCAGGCCAGGCCGACCUCAAGCCGAGCUGACCUCGGCCAGAGGCUAGGCCGACUUUCGGCCUUGUCGAAAGCUGAGCCGACCUCAGGCCAGGCCGACCUCGGACCCCGCCGAAGGCCGAGCCGACCUCGGCCAGACUGGGACAACCGGGUCGCACGACUCGGUCAACCGGGACACAUCCCGUGGAAAGACGAUUUUCCAUGUUUAUCUUAAGGAGAGUUACUUAAUUUUGUCUAGAGUCUUGGGUCAAUAAAUAAAGUUGUAAGGGGCCAUUAUGAGGCAUCCUAGAGCAAUCCCAGAGUUGAGUUUAGUCUUGUUUUCUUAUGAGAGUCGACCGUAAGGCUUGGGCGGUGUUUGUGCUGAUUUCGGUCCUUAGAUCUUGUUUUCUAGAACUUGGGCUAGUAGUAGAUGCAUCAAUCUCCACUAGAUUAGGUUAGAAAGGGAUCUCUUCAAUCCCUUGCUAGAUUUUUUUUGUUUUCUUUGUUCUUGUUAUUUGUUUUUCAAUUGAGUGGAAUAAAAUUCAGUUUGCCUACAUUGUUAAUCUUUGUAUUGAGUUAUUCC
rnacentral:lncRNA from 1 species